rnacentral:rRNA from 1 species
CCUACGGGGUGCAGCAGUGAGGAAUCUUGGUCAAUGGAGGCAACUCUGAACCAGCCACGUCGCGUGAAGGAUGAAGGCCUUACGGGUCGUAAACUUCUUUUUCGGGGGAAUAAACGGGGUCACGGGUGGCCCUUUGCAUGUACCCCGCGAAUAAGGAUCGGCUAACUCCGUGCCAGCAGCCGCGGUAAUACGGAGGAUCCGAGCGUUAUCCGGAUUUAUUGGGUUUAAAGGGUGCGCAGGCGGGUUGUUAAGUCGGUGGUGAAAUCCCGGGGCUCAACCCCUGGCUUGCCAUCGAAACUGGUUACCUUGAGUGUGGGUGAGGCAGGCGGAAUUCGUGGUGUAGCGGUGAAAUGCAUAGAUAUCACGAGGAACUCCGAUCGCGUAGGCAGCUUGCCAUUCCAUAACUGACGCUCAUGCACGAAGGCGUGGGGAUCAAACAG